GGCCCCUUGGUGCUUACCACAGACUGUGUUCAUACACUGAUCUACAGAGAGAGGAGGCAAGGAAAACCUACCCAUGUAAACCUCAGCCCAGGCCCUGUGCCUGCUCCGUAUUGUGAAUGGGGAAGAGAAAG
rnacentral:snoRNA from 1 species